UCGAACGAUGAAGCCCAGCUUGCUGGGUGGAUUAGUGGCGAACGGGUGAGUAACACGUGAGUAACCUGCCCUUAACUCUGGGAUAAGCCUGGGAAACUGGGUCUAAUACCGGAUAGGAGCGCCUACCGCAUGGUGGGUGUUGGAAAGAUUUAUCGGUUUUGGAUGGACUCGCGGCCUAUCAGCUUGUUGGUGAGGUAAUGGCUCACCAAGGCGACGACGGGUAGCCGGCCUGAGAGGGUGACCGGCCACACUGGGACUGAAACACGGCCCAGACUCCUA
rnacentral:rRNA from 1 species